AAAUAGCCCAGAUAAAAGCGGCAUCCUUUUUAGGGUUGAAUGACGGAGGAAUUAAACCCUAAAAAGAUAUAGCGGAUAGCUGGAAAAGGC
rnacentral:sRNA from 1 species